rnacentral:rRNA from 1 species
ACGCUCGACACCUACGGGAGGCAGCAGUGGGGAAUAUUGCACAAUGGGGGAAACCCUGAUGCAGCGACGCCGCGUGAGUGAAGAAGUAUUUCGGUAUGUAAAGCUCUAUCAGCAGGGAAGAAGAUGACGGUACCUGAGUAAGAAGCCCCGGCUAACUACGUGCAAGCAGCCGGCGGUAAUCUGAGCGGGCUGGCAAGGC